rnacentral:rRNA from 1 species
UACAGAGGGUGCAAGCGUUGUUCGGAAUUACUGGGCGUAAAGGGCGUGUAGGCGGCUUAACAAGUCAGAUGUGAAAUCUCCGGGCUUAACUCGGAAAGUGCAUUGAAACUGUUAGGCUAGAGUGCAGUAGAGGAUGGCGGAAUACCCAGUGGAGAGGUGAAAUUCGUAGAUAUUGGGUGGAACACCGGUGGCGAAGGCGGCCAUCUGGGCUGUAACUGACGCUGAGGCGCGAGAGCGUGGGGGAGCAAACAGG